GUGAUUGAGCAGGUGGUCUCCCUGGCACACAGGUCCUCUCACAAAAGGAAAGGCGCUGCCCAUGUUUCAUACAUGACUGCUGGGAACAAGCUUAGAGGAGCCACUGCCUGUGUCAGAAAGCAAAUGGGACCAAUCAACUUGUGAGCUGCUGAGUGACACUGUGAGUCCUGCCUCUGAAACUUUUGUUAUUUUUUCCCCUCAGCCUACUUCAAUUGUUUCCACAACUUGGUCACAGACUCGGAAAAGUUGCCAGAGAUCGACAGGCACAUCCCACAGCCCGGAGCAAGCUCCUCUGUGCUUCACCAAGUCACACCAGGGGUGGGUGACAGCACCAUGGAGGAUUAACAAGCAAGGUAUUUGAGAAAAAAGGGCUUGUACGAACAUCCAGAAUACUUUUCCAGAAAAAAAACCUAAACAACUGUCCAUUUUAAGCAUACCAUUUUUUUUCUUAAGUGGCAGAAACUAAAAACCAGGGGAAGAGCUAUGGACACAAUGAAAUUCAUGUGAACCUACACAGCUUACUAAUGAAGGAGCAGCCCUAAGCUACAAUCAAGAGUCUGCUGCAGGCACAAGAGGGCAGACUGAUGCACAUUAUGGAUCUUGCCAACAACAGGGGUCUCAACCUGCUACUUAACUUUCUGCUCAUUGUCUUGGUUCUAGUGCUCGCAUUUAUCCUUGUGAAGCUGAUGUGAACCUCUGCAAGGCUCUGCUUCCUUCUCAGAUUUCGCCCUGUGGAUUUUGCAAUGAUAAUGUAGACACUUUAGACUACCUGAAUCUAAGUGUGUGAAGACUGCAGAGGCUGAAGUAUCUGACAGUUAUAGAGAAUGUGUGCACACCCCAAAUUUAUCAGAAAGCAAUCCUAAGAGCUAUGCACAAGCUGUGCACCUGCCACUGAGUGAAGAAAGCUUCUACAGCCGCACUGAGUGCCUGAAGAAACCCAAGAAUGCAUCAGCAGCUACUGCAGUUUCUCAUGGCUACAGGGGAUUGUUAUUUAAAGACCUACGAAUUAUUUGCAGCAUUCAAGGAAAAUUAUUUCUGCAAAAAGGGGGCAGCAGAACUCAAAUUUUUAAAAUGGGAUUUCUGUAGAACAUAUAUUUAAUGGGAAAUGACAGCAGGAAAGCAAUCCAAAAUGCCAGCUUUGAGUUGACAGCACACAUCAAAUUACCUGUGGAGAGAAAAGCACAGAUGCUGUAAAUGGAAACAAAGGUAUCCCUGAAAAGCAGCUUGCAGUAGCAGAGAUGGGGAUAAGUGAAGGUCAAAUAUGAAAACAUUAUUAUUAUUUAGACCUUUUUUGAUCACCUGUGGUUCACUGCAACACCUCAAAAGCCAGAAGCCUUCUGUUAAACAGCAUAUCAAAAGAAGCACAUGUCAAAACAACUGAAAAACAAAGGGCCAUUAUCCAGGGUUAUCAUAGCUCUUGCCUUAGCACCAGCACAAACACCAGCAGUAGGCACAGCUGCACAAACCCAGGAUGCACUACAGCCUCAGUAAGAGGAUUUACCACUUAUGCACAGGUCAAGUGAGCAGUGUAGGAGCCCUCCAGCCGUAUUUGAGAGACCACUUGUUACUUGCCAGUGCCAUCAUCAGUCCAUAGCCUGUCCUCACCUCUAGUCAUGCAGCAAAACUUCUUAUAGGACCUUCUUUUGUGGCUCUUUACAGAGUGAUGUAGUUUUCCCACAGGGUCCUGGGAAGGAGAGUGACCAACAGGAGCACACUUCUGUUGGAAUGAUUUUCCAGAAGGUAGAGCUAAAAACAUGAGAAGUCCUGGGAAAGGAGCAGAAGUCCUGGGACCAGAAGCAGAUUUUCAUACAUCACACUGGAGCCAAACAACUUUCUCUUAGCAUCUCACUCUCUCAAGUGAAACACAGAAACCAACCACAAGAACCACCAAGUGUGGACCAAAAAAUAUAUAUUCAAGUGUGCACCGAAGAUAUAUAUUGUACAGUAAAAUUAUUGCCAUAGAUAUGCAUAUUGAUACACAUGCAUAAGAGGCAGAUGUUGUUUUAUGGAUGGGGGAAGCCCCAGAUCCAGCUUCUUACUGCCAACAGCACAUCCCUGAUUCAGCACAUACACUGCUGAGUGCUGAGUGUAUUAUAAAGCUGAUCUGUUCAUGUUCACACCCAGAACUCCAAUAUGAUCACUACUGUUAUUCAGUUAUCUGCAGGAGACUCAUCUAAACUGGAUCUAUGAACAGACUUUUCAGGAAAAGGCAGUAUGCCCAGCAAACCCGAAAGCUUAAGGAAGUCCUGCCAUUAGUAAGUAUCCACAUUCCACUCUAUGCUACCUGCUCCAAAGCUUACAGAGAAUUAGUGUGCUCAUUUUACCUGGAAUAAAGUUAAUUUUUUUCAUGGUAUAGUAGUUAGCAUAGGACUAUGGAUUGGUAUAAGUACAAAGGGCAGCUACUGCGAAGAAAAUUGCCUCUACUCCAGCCAAACCAGCACAAUGGCCUAGAGCAGCGCAGAUAGUUAAAACAAAAGCUUUUUUCUCACCUGCUCUGAAAUACGUGCAAUAACCAUUUGAAAUGGCUUCUGCAAACUACAUACCCAUAUUUUUUGAAGUUGAUAGUUAUUGUAGUAUGAAUUCCAAUCUGUUUGCAUUUAAAGCAGAAAACUUUGCACAGCUACAUUACAAUAAGCAAUCAUUUAUUUUUAAAAUCUUGAAAUAAUCUGCUUUAAAAAAAAAAAAUCCAUAAAUUUAUAUACCAGAGAUACAUGUGGCAAUGGUUACAUAGUUUUGUAUUACUUAGGAGAAUUCCUGUUGAUGCUUGACAUAGAUGGUUCAAAGCACACCAAAACCACCAUAACAAACAGGAAACCCACUCUAGCCCAAAGCAGAAUAAGAACAGCUUUCCCAACAAAAUGGUUGUUCACUGCUUGGGACUACCCAAAGCUUAUUGUUUAUAUGACCUUCUCUGUAUUCAGAAGGAAAUAGGGAAACCACUAUCUUAGGGAAACCACUGUGACACCACUGGGCCCUGACAAAAAAAUAAAAUCACAUAUUCCUUUUUAAUAAAUUGAGGAAGAUGAGUCUGCUGCCACCAACAAGCACAUAUUUCCUGAUCAAAAAUUACAAACCAAGGAAGUCUGUGAAAAAUUUUGCUGUCAGAGCAUGGAGAAACAAUCCCCAGAUGCUAUCCUAGAAGCCUCCUUUCAGCCAGCAAUGAACAUGACAUAAUCCUCAACAAACGCUGAAAUACACUGCUGAAACUGAAGCAUUUUCCAAAGAUGACGUAUAUAAAGCAGCAAAGUUAACAGCUAACCAAUGCCAAGGUUCUUUUUGCAAUCAAGCACAGUCCAAGUUUGGUUUCUGAUCAUUUGCUAGCACUCCAGACUGAACCUACAAGCACAUUAUAAUGAAUGGAAUCCCAUUUGCUGGGCUACCAACUUCACAGCAAAAGGAACAGACCGUAAAAGCUUAAUUAUGGCACAGAGUAAAGGAGUUCACCCUGCUAAAAGUGAUAAUCCCUCAUGUUAAAAAGUUUUCUAUUCCUGAAAAAUAUGGUUUCAUCAAAAUGGGAUCUAGGAAAAAUGCUGAUAUUAAUAAUUUUAAUUUUCUGAUCUGACAGGAUUGUAAAAAAACCCUAGCUUCAUUUAAGAAUAAAAUUCUAUGUGGCAAC